GAAUAUUGGUCAAUGGACGCAAGUCUGAACCAGCCAUGCCGCGUGCAGGAAGAAUGCCCUAUGGGUUGUAAACUGCUUUUAUUUGGGAAUAAACCCCCCGACGAGUUUGGGGGCUGAAGGUACCAAAUGAAUAAGCACCGGCUCACUCCGUGCCAGCAGCCGCGGUAAUACGGAGGGUGCAAGCGUUAUCCGGAAUCAUUGGGUUUAAAGGGUCCGCAGGCGGACAUAUAAGUCAGUGGUGAAAGCCUACAGCUUAACUGUAGAACUGCCAUUGAUACUGUAUGUCUUGAAUUCGGUCGAAGUGGGCGGAAUAUGUCAUGUAGCGGUGAAAUGCGUAGAUAUGACAUAGAACACCGAUAGCGAAGGCAGCUCACUAGGCCUGGAUUGACGCUCAUGGACGAAAGCGUGGGUAGCGAACAGG
rnacentral:rRNA from 1 species